rnacentral:ncRNA from 1 species
UUUAAUAUAUUAAGUAAAAGAGUUUGAUCCUAGCUCAGAAUGAACGUUAUUGAUUGGCUUAACACAUGCAAGUUAAAAUUUUAAUAAUUAGCAUACGGGUGAAUAGAACAUAGAAAUUGAUUUCUGAAUAAUUACGUAAUGUAUGUAAAGAUUAAACUCGUUCCGAAAAAGUCUAUGUAAGAUUAGGUUGUUGGUAGCAAAAGUCUACCAAGCUUAUGAUCUUUAGCUGAUCUGUGAGGAUGAACAGCCACAUUGGAACUGAAAAACGGUCCAGACUUAUUUAAAGGCAGCAGUGAGGAAUAUUGGGCAAUGAGCGAAAGCUUGACCCAGCUAAAUCAAAUAUGUGAUUAAAGCAAUUAGCCGUAAAACAUAUUUAACAGGUAAAUAAUGAUUACUUCAAAAGAGUCCUGGCUAAUUUCGUGCCAGCAGCCGCGGUAAAACGAGAAGGGCGAACGUUACUCAAAUUAAUUGGGCGUAAAGCAUAUGUAGGUUGAAUAUUAAUUCUUAAUCUAAAUCUUAAAUUUUAUGUUAAAAAUGGUUAAUAAACUAAUAUUCUUGAGUUUAAAUGAAGGUUGUAGAACUUUAAAUGGAACAGUAAAAUGUAUUGAUAUUUAAAAGAAUUUCGAUAGCGAAAGCAGCAAUCUAAGUUAAAACUGACACUGAGGUAUUAAAGCAUGGGUAGCAAAAGGGAUUAGAUACCCCUGUAGUCCAUGCCCUGAACAAUGAGUGUUAAUCUUAUGGUUCGUCAAUUAUGAGAUUAAGUUAAGGCUAUAACACUCCGCCUGGGGACUACGAUCGCAAGAUUAAAACUCAAAGGAAUUGACGGGGACCUAUACAAGCAGUGGAGCAUGUGGUUUAAAUCGACAAUACGCGCGAAACCUUACCAAUUCUUGCAUACUUACAGGUGUUGCAUGGCUGUCGUCAGUCCGUGCUGUGAAGCGUUUGGUUUAUUCCAAUAAACGGACAAAACCCUCGUGCAUAAUUAAAUGCAGACUGUUGAAGAUAUAUCAAAGGAAGGUGAGGAUGACGUCAAGUCUUCAUGACCCUAAUGAAUUGGGCUACUUUCAUGUGCUACAAUGAUUUUUGCAGAAGGAAAUAACGUUGUAAACCAUAAUUAAACCUUAAAAAAAAUCACGUACGGAUUGUUUUCUGAAACUUGAAAAUAUGAAGAUGGAAUUGCUAGUAAUCGUGAAUAAGAAUGUCACGGUGAAUUUGUUCUUAGGUCUUGUACACACCGCCCGUCACGCUAUGGGAAUUUACUUCGUUGAAAAAUUUAAUAACUUAAAACGAAAAAAGGACUGAAGUGAAGUCGUAACAAGGUAGCCGUAGGGGAACCUGCGGCUGGAUUAUUUUAAUUUAAACAUUCUACUACC